CCUACGGGAGGCAGCAGUGGGGGAUAUUGGACAAUGGGGGAAACCCUGAUCCAGCGACGCCGCGUGAGUGAAGAAGUAUUUCGGUAUGUAAAGCUUUAUCAGCAGGGAAGAAAGACAUGACGGUACCUGAGUAAGAAGCCCCGGCUAACUACGUGCCAGCAGCCGCGGUACUACGUAGGGGGCAAGCGUUAUCCGGAAUUACUGGGUGUAAAGGGAGCGUAGACGGUAAUGCAAGUCUGGAGUGAAAGGCGGGGGGCCAACCCCCGGACUGCUCUGGAAACUGUGUAACUGGAGUGCAGGAGAGGCAGGCGGAAUUCCUAGUGUAGCGGUGAAAUGCGUAGAUAUUAGGAGGAACACCAGUGGCGAAGGCGGCCUGCUGGACUGUAACUGACGUUGAGGCUCGAAAGCGUGGGGAGCAAACAGGAUUAGAUACCCUUGUAGUC
rnacentral:rRNA from 1 species